AGGCACUUGUCUGCCAUAUAGUGGCUAAAAUUCAGAUGAGAUGUUGGGGCUGCAUUAUAUAAAUGGUACUAUGAGUUCCAUUAUCUUUGGUGAACUAAGGUUUUAGCUGUAGUUAAUGUAUGUUAAGAGGUUUGGUCUAGCUGUUUUUGGAAAAUGACAGAACGCUAAAGCCACGUGGUUACUUCAGACAGAUGUUUUCCUUUAGGUUUCUAGAGACAGGCGCAAGAGAACCCUUGACUUUCUUCUGUAUGGCUAGGUCCUGGUGGUUACCCUUCAUCAAGAUCAUGGUAAAGUAAACUUGAGGAAAUUUACCUGUCCUCCUGGUGAAGAGAACUUAGGAACCAAAAUACUUCAAUGAAAACUCUGUGCAUGUCUCUGAAUUCUUCCAGAAAUACAGCUAUGACUGAAUUCAAGAUGAAGAUGGAAAUGGAUGUUUGCCCCAGACAAAGAGUAAAGGAUGUUGGUCAAAUACCUUCAGUUAACACCAAUAGGCUUUGAAGUGUUUCAUGGCAUUUAGAGAAGAUAGGCCUCAGCUAGGAUUAAUAAUAAAUGGACAUUAAUCUAAAGUCAUUGCAGUCAUGUACUUUCCAGUAUUUUUGUUGCGUGUAUAAGCACUGGUCAUCCGUGGUUUAAAGAGGGACCCACACAGGAUGCUUUCCUGCUGUGCUGACUCAUUCCCGAUAGUCUAAAAAAUGAAAAGGGGCAUGUGUGCUUCCUGAUUUCCACAUUGCUUGUAACACUUUUAAACCAAAAUGUUUUGGAUUCUCUUUGUCUGUCAAAAGCUAAGGUUCUUAUUUAAUCAGCAGAUUCCAGAGUAACUUUUAAAGUGCUAUUUUACCACAACUGUUUUCAUCUUUAUUCACUGUUUUCCCAUGCACUGAGGAAAUAAGAGGGCUGGGAAAUUACAAAAAAUAAGAAAACCCGUGUGUCUUGUAAGACCCUCCUUCAGAAAGUGAUUAGGGGCUCCUCUGUCCACCAGUUAAUGUGUGCUAAAUGGUCAAGUGACUCAUCUUAGCUCAUGUUUGAUUGCCUGUGCUUUCUGCCUGCUUGUGUAUAAACAAAUUAGUAACACCCCUCCUCAAUAAGGAACCAUGAGGUGUGUAGUACUUCUAAGAAAAACACAAAGUCAUUUGUAUCUGAUUUGCCAAACAACCACUCUAAAAUCAAAGAUGCAUAGGAAAAAACAAAACCAAUCAGUAACAAGGAAAUCUGGAAGUUGAUGGCAGAUGCACAAUGUCUAUCCAUUGCCAUUAGAAAGCCCAGAUAAACUAAAGUUCUCCCCUGCCUGCCCAGCCCUGAGGUAUGAAAGCCAGGCAAAAAUUACUUAGGAGGAAAAGUAAACUGAGAGCAAUAAAGGAUAAAAAGCUGAAAUCCACCAAGGUAUCAAAUUAAGUCAUUGUGUUAAAAAGCAAAAGAAAGAAUGCUGUUUCAUUGACAAAAGCUUUAUGCC